UUCUAUGGCCAUACCACCCUGAAUGUGCCUGAUCUUGGAAGCUAAGCAGGGUCAGGCCUGAUUAGUAGUACAUGGGUGGGAGAAAUGGUAGUUAAAUUGCCAUGGGAA
rnacentral:rRNA from 10 species